GAUGAACGCUGGCGGCGUGCCUAAUACAUGCAAGUCGAGCGAACGGACGAGAAGCUUGCUUCUCUGAUGUUAGCGGCGGACGGGUGAGUAACGCGUGGAUAACCUACCUAUAAGACUGGGAUAACUUCGGGAAACCGGCGCUAAUACCGGAUGAUAUUUUGAACCGCAUGGUUCAAAAGUGAAAGACGGUCUUGCUGUCACUUAUAGAUGGAUCCGCGCUGCAUUAGCUAGUUGGUAAGGUAACGGCUUACCAAGGCAACGAUGCAUAGCCGACCUGAGAGGGUGAUCGGCCACACGGGAACUGAGACACGGUCCAGACUCCUACGGGAGGCAGCAGUAGGGAAUCGUCCGCAAUGGGCGAAAGCCUGACGGAGCAACGCCGCGUGAGUGAUGAAGGUCUUCGGAUCGUAAAACUCUGUUAUUAGGGAAGAACAUAUGUGUAAGUAACUGUGCACGUCUUGACGGUACCUAAUCAGAAAGCCACGGCUAACUACGUG
rnacentral:rRNA from 1 species